rnacentral:tRNA from 1 species
AGAGAGAGAUUUUAAUCCCCACCCCUAACUCCCAAAGCUAGGAUUCUAAAAAACUAUUUUCUGUU